rnacentral:sRNA from 12 species
ACCGCCGCCGGACGGAGCGGGUCGCGAGGGUUGGGGAACCUGAUGACCGGGUCGCUGCCGAGACGGUUCCGGGUCUUAGGGAGCCCGGGGCCGGUCGUUCUGGCGAAGGAG